CAACCUGCGAUUUCCAGGGUUUCAGCCACAUCUCCAACCGACGAUGGCGGCGUGAUAUGCGACGACCGCUUGAUCUCCGGCCGUGGAAGGUUUUCGAUUGUUGAAGAAGAAGCCCAAGAUCAUGCAGCAGCAUCUUGAUUAUUGUUUCCCUGGUUUAUGGCUAUCCAAGAUAACUCCUCGAUCCUACAAAGCCAAUGAAUAAGACAUGUGUUCUUAUAGUCCGUAUACAUUGUGAAGGUUGUAAGGAUAGGUCAGGAAGAAGGUGCAGAAGGUUCAAGGUAAGUUGUGGGGUUCAGUUGUAUUUUAUUCGUUGUUUAAUUGGUUUAUUGUUUGGCUGGGUUCAUGUGGUACAUGGAAGCAAUAAAUAACAUAUUGUUGUAGGAGCUUUGUUGAUUCUUUGAAAAUGUGAACUCAAUUUUACUCUGUUUCAAUUAUGUUUCAUAUUCUGUUAUUUACUUGAGUUAUGCUUGUAUUGUAAUUCAAAGAAGGAAAAUGUUUGUCUGGCAAACUCUAUAUCUGAAAUGCAUAAAUUUGGAGCAAUCUAUAAUAUCAAAUGGUUCUCAUACUUUGGCACAUGAAUCCAAUGAUUUGGGUAAAAAAGAUAAAAAGAAGAAAGGAACAAAAAGAGGAAGGCACUUUGAUAGAGAUUCUCGAGCUACUAAUCCAGAGGUCUCAAUUUGGUGUGAUCUCA